GACGAACGCUGGCGGCGUGCUUAACACAUGCAAGUCGAACGGAAAGGCCCUGCUUUUGUGGGGUGCUCGAGUGGCGAACGGGUGAGUAACACGUGAGUAACCUGCCCUUGACUUUGGGAUAACUUCAGGAAACUGGGGCUAAUACCGGAUAGGAGCUCCUGCUGCAUGGUGGGGGUUGGAAAGUUUCGGCGGUUGGGGAUGGACUCGCGGCUUAUCAGCUUGUUGGUGGGGUAGUGGCUUACCAAGGCUUUGACGGGUAGCCGGCCUGAGAGGGUGACCGGCCACAUUGGGACUGAGAUACGGCCCAGACUCCUACGGGAGGCAGCAGUGGGGAAUAUUGCACAAUGGGCGGAAGCCUACUGCAGCAACGCCGCGUGCGGGAUGACGGCCUUCGGGUUGUAAACCGCUUUCGCCUGUGACGAAGCGUGAGUGACGGUAAUGGGUAAAGAAGCACCGGCUAACUACGUG
rnacentral:rRNA from 1 species